rnacentral:SRP_RNA from 1 species
GCUGGGUGUGGUGGCUCACACCUGUAAUCCCAGCAGUCUGGGAGGUUGAGGUGGGUGGAUCACCUGAGGUCAGGAGUUCGAGACCAGCCUGGCCAACAUGGUGAAACCCCAUCUCUA